rnacentral:rRNA from 1 species
AUUGAACGCUGGCGGCAGGCCUAACACAUGCAAGUCGAACGGCAGCGGGGGAUAGCUUGCUAUCCUGCCGGCGAGUGGCGGACGGGUGAGUAAUGCAUGGGGAGCUGCCCAAUCGAGGGGGAUAACAACUGGAAACGGUUGCUAAUACCGCAUACGCCCUGCGGGGGAAAGGUGGGGACCUUCGGGCCUACCGCGUUUGGAUUCACCCAUGUGGGAUUAGCUAGUUGGUGAGGUAACGGCUCACCAAGGCGACGAUCUCUAGCUGGUCUGAGAGGAUGACCAGCCACACUGGAACUGAGACACGGUCCAGACUCCUACGGGAGGCAGCAGUGGGGAAUAUUGCACAAUGGGGGAAACCCUGAUGCAGCCAUGCCGCGUGUGUGAAGAAGGCCUUCGGGUUGUAAAGCCCUUUCGGAUAGAAAGAAAACUCUUACUCUAACAUAGUGAGAGAAUGACGGUACUAUCAUAAGAAGCACCGGCUAACUACGUGCCAGCAGCCGCAGUAAGAC